CAUGAAGCCGGAAUCGCUAGUAAUCGCGGAUCAGAAUGCCGCGGUGAAUACGUUCCCGGGUCUUGUACACACCGCCCGUCACACCAUGGGAGUCGGAAAUGCCCGAAGUCUGUGACCCAACCGUAAGGAGGGAGCAGCCGAAGGCAGGUCGGAUGACUGGGGUGAAGUCGUAACAAGGUACC
rnacentral:rRNA from 1 species